rnacentral:sRNA from 1 species
CAGCUGUUUUGCAAUAAAUGCACGAGAAUGAAAGAAACUAAUGUGAAACAACACAGAAAUGAGCAGGAAAAACUGAAUCUCGCCGCCCGUACCUUCAGGUAAUUACAGCAAUGGCCACAGUCUUUUUCUUCGCUGUUUGUCUAUCCAUCUGGUUUUCCGCUGCCGUCGCUGCGUUGCCGCCAUCAAAGAAGAGAACAGUGGCAUGAGGGACUUUAGCAUGAUCUAUAAGGAUAAAAGUAGCUUCUAUGAUGACACCUUAACACCGUAAGGAGCCACGUACAGAGCAUCUUUCUCAAGAUCUUCGUGGAGGUCAAUUGUAUUAAGGCGGACGCCGUAUUGAACCUCAUACUCAAUCAAAGAAGUGCGCACAAAUCUGCUGCAGCUGCGUUCAAUCAACUUCCAAGACCCAAGAGAGGAGUUGUGGCUGCUGUCACUGCCAGUGGAAAAACUUAAGUAUAUCUUAAGAUAUGUAUACCUGAUAUCAUAUAAUAUAUUGUAUUUUUAGAUGUUGAUAUAAUACGUAUAACGUUCUGGAUGUAUUAUAAAACUAAUGCGUUAGUAAUCGUACAAUAUUUAUUAAGUAUGGUGGCCACCCAUGCACGCCGUACGAUGAACGAUAUAUUUAUAGUACCUAUAUGGUAUAAAUACUAUAAAAAAAAAAAAACUAAGACAAGAGACUAAGACUAAGGUUUCGA